AAAUAUAGCCAAAACAUGACUCACUACACUUAAAGAUUAGGUAUUUAGCUAAUCAUUAAUGAAAAAAUGUCUCUGGGUAAACAUAUUUUAAAUCAAUGGCGGAUAAUUCAAAUUGGGUCAUAUUAGGGUUGUAAACUGUUCAUGUAGGUCAAUUUUUUAUAUGUUUGCUAUCAUACCAGACAAUUUCCACCAUAUAAACCAACUAACAUGUUAUAUUUAUGUUGGUGUUUGUUGAAUAUGUUUGUUCAAAUGACUGACCUAUGGUUGACACAAUAAAAAACCGUAAUGCAAACCUUAAAAAAAGAGGGGUGGGGGGUAAUGACAUAAUU
rnacentral:lncRNA from 1 species